rnacentral:rRNA from 1 species
CAAGGCUUGACGUGCACGGGUAAGACCUAGAGACACGGUGCCCCGCUUACGGUCCGUGCACAGGUGGUGCAUGGGUGUCGUCAGCUCGUGUCGUGAGAUGUUGGGUUAAGUCCCGCAACGAGCGCAACCCUUGUUCUGUGUUGCCAGCACGCCCUUCGGUGGUGGGGACUCAUAGGAGACUGCCGGGGUCAACUCGGAGGAAGGUGGGGAUGACGUCAAGUCAUCAUGCCCCUUAUGUCUUGGGCUGCACGCAUGCUACAAUGGCCGGUACGAUGAGUUGCGAUGUCGCGAGGUGGAGCGAAUCCCAAAAAGCCGGUCUCAGUUCGGAUAGGGUGAUGCAACUCGACCCCAUGAAGUCGGAGUCGCUAGUAAUCGCGGAUCAGAACGUCGCGGUGAAUACGUUCCC